rnacentral:tRNA from 1 species
UCGUGGGCCGAGGCCGAGGCGGCCGGCGCGCUGUCGCUGCGCCAGGACAUUCGCCUCUUGCCGCACCUGUUCGACAUCGGCAUCCACGAG